GAUGAACGCUAGCGGCAGGCCUAACACAUGCAAGUCGAGGGGUAACUAGAGUGAUAGCAAUAUUACUUUGGCUAGACCGGCGCACGGGUGCGUAACACGUAUGCAACCUACCUUAUACUGGGGAAUAACUUCGAGAAAUCGGCGCUAAUACCCCAUAACACUGCGGAGAGGCAUCUCUUUGCAGUUAGAGCUCCGGCGGUAUAAGAUGGGCAUGCGUCCAAUUAGCUAGUUGGUGAGGUAACGGCUCACCAAGGCUACGAUUGGUAGGGGUUCUGAGAGGAUGAUCCCCCACACUGGUACUGAGACACGGACCAGACUCCUACGGGAGGCAGCAGUGAGGAAUAUUGCGCAAUGGACGAAAGUCUGACGCAGCCAUGCCGCGUGCAGGAUGUCGGCCCUAUGGGUUGUAAACUGCUUUUGUACGGGAAUAAACCCUUCUACGUGUAGGAGGCUGAAGGUACCGUAAGAAUAAGCACCGGCUAACUCCGUGCCAGCCGCCGCCGUAA
rnacentral:rRNA from 1 species